rnacentral:rRNA from 1 species
ACACGGGGGGCGCAAGCGUUAUUCGGAAUUAUUGGGCGUAAAGGGCGUGUAGGCGGUUUUAUCGGUCAGAUGUGAGAGCCCAGGGCUCAACCCUGGACGUGCAUUUGAAACAGUAAGACUUGAGUACGGUAGAGGAAAGCGGAAUUCCUGGUGUAGAGGUGAAAUUCGUAGAUAUCAGGAGGAACACCGAUGGCGAAGGCAGCUUUCUGGACCGUAACUGACGCUGAUGCGCGAAGGCGUGGGUAGCGAACAGGAUUAGAAACCCUAGUAGUCC